rnacentral:rRNA from 1 species
UACAGAGGGUGCGAGCGUUGUCCGGAAUCACUGGGCGUAAAGGGCGCGUAGGCGGCUUGAUAAGCGUGCGGUGAAAAGCCCGGGGGCUCAACCCCCGGAACUGCAUUCGAUACUGCUGCGCUAGAGUACUGGAGAGGAGAUUGGAAUUUACGGUGUAGCAGUGAAAUGCGUAGAUAUCGUAAGGAAGACCAGUGGCGAAGGCGGAUCUCUGGACAGUUACUGACACUGAGGCACGAAGGCCAGGGGAGCAAACGGG